CCGUUUCUUAUUUCUCUUCGUCCUCGAAACGAACGUCCGCGUUGUUUGGGCCUCCUGUCUCGUCGCGUGUCUCCUCUCGAAUCCUUUCCCGCUCCUCGACCACCCUCGAUGUCUUCUCCCCUUUUAACCGCCUAUCGUCACCUUCGAGUCGCUCCACUACCAACCAACCGAUUGUCUCGCCGUUAAGCGGCAAUUUAUAUGUUAACAGGGUCGAAUCGGUCGAGAGUCAUGCAUACGUUUAAGAAAACGGGGUUGCACGCCGAGGAGGAGGCUCGAGGGGGACCGAGCACGAUCGCGUGACGAUGUUUCACCGACACUUUGCUCGUUAGUCGAGCCAACGAUCGAGCCGUUUCGACGAUACGGAUCUGCCCCUACGGAUCAGGUCCAACCACCCUCGUCGCUUAUCGGUUACAUGUAAAUUCCUGCCAACUCGUGUACAAACAGCUUCGGAGGCUGCCUAUCGAGAUGCGGUCGGAUCAAGUUAUAUCACGAACUAAAGCGAUCGCAAAGAUACUUUCAACAAUUUUCAGCAGCGUGAAGUCAACAAAAUUGAUCAAAUUCGAAUGAAUUUCUACGCUUUGAUCCUAUAGCAGUCAGGUAUUGUUUCGUACGAGCGCAAUAAAAUAAACGAGCUUUCAUAAUCAUACCGCGCCUUUCGUCCACGAAACAUUAAAAAUUAAACGUUAUUGUUUGGUUACGCGGAAGA